CUGCGAGUGAAAUGGGACAAGCCCAGCGCCGAAUCGUGUUGCUGGAGACGGUAAUACGAACUGUGGCGUGAAGAUGGCGUUUAUUGGUGUGGCUGGCUGGCGUAAGUUCUCCUGAGUGAGGCUCCAUCCCAUGGAGGGUGCAAGGCCCGUGUCGUUAGCAGCUGUCGCCAAUGUGCGCUGUCAGAGAGUCGCCUUGUUUGCGAGUACAAGGUGAAGUCGGUGGUAAACUCCAUCGAAGGCUAAAUAUGACCACGAGUCCGAUAGCGAACAAGUACCGUGAGGGAAAAUUGAAAAGCACUUUGAAGAGAGAGCGAAACAGUGCGUGAAACCGCUUAGAGGCAAGCGGAUGGGGCCUCGAAGGCAAAGCAUCGAAUUCAGCCGAUUGGCCGUGCGGUCGGUGGACGGCGAGAUCGCAAGACUCACGUUUGCUGUGCUUGUGCGGCGGUUGGUGCACUUUCGGUGUUUGUACGCCACCGCCGUUGAGGAGCGUCCGUCGGAUCGGCGUGUGAAGCCUAGCUCUGUCAAAGGAGCUGGUGCUUACUGCUGAUUUGAACGCGUUGGCGCCUCAACCGGUCAUUGUCAAUGUGUCACUAGGUCGGCGUGCUUUGUCGGGUGUACGGAGAUGACGAGCUUGCUCGGCUCUUCUGCAUCUGGUAGACUCGUGUUGGCUGCAGGGCAUGUUGU
rnacentral:rRNA from 1 species